UGUACCAUACCACCCUGAACAUACUCAAUCUUGUCUGAUCUUAGAAGAUAAGCAGGAUCAGGCCUGGUCAGUACUUGCAAAGAAGACCGUAAUUGUUGUCUCCUUGGCCAAAGCCAGUCAUAUGACCAC
rnacentral:rRNA from 1 species